rnacentral:rRNA from 1 species
GCGAAGGUGGGGCAAGGGUGCGGUGGAAUGUAGAGGGUGUGAGCGGUAAUCGGAUUUAGUGGGUGUAAGGCGGGUGGAGGCGGUUCGUGAAGGCUGAGGGGAAAGACCUGGGCUCAACCUAGGAAUGGCAUUGGGUACUGGCGGGCUAGAGUACGGUAGAGGGCGGCGGAAUGCCGGGUGUAGCGGUGAAAUGCGUAGAUAGCCGGAGGAACACCGAUGGCGAAGGCAACCGCCUGGGCCUGUACUGACGCUGAGACACGAAAGCGUGGGGAGCAAACAGGAUUAGAUACCCUAGUAGUC